UGUGACAAAGGCAAACCCUGAGUGAUCAGGGGACGCAAAGUAAAGGAUCUUGUAACAGUGGACAGUGUUCGUGAACAGUGUCAGUAUACGUAACAGACACUCUCGUUCAUAACUGGCACGAUAGAAAUAAGAUGGCCUUGCUACCGAAA
rnacentral:ncRNA from 1 species